UUAAGAAAAACCCCUCCCUCUACAAACUCUGGAUCACUUGCUGUAUGGAACAUAGGAACCAAACAGAUUUUAUUUGAUAGUAUUGAGUAUUUUAGUGUUGAGAUUUAGUAUCUCCAAAAUCCUAGUUAUGAAUUUAUUACUUCCAGAGAAAUAGCACUCUUUUUUGGUGAGAUAUUGCAUCUCUCCACAUUUGUUGUAAUGAGGAUGUUUCAUAUACAGAGGCUACACGUGGACUGCACAGAAGUACCAAGCAUCUGACCACAUUGGCUGGCAAGGUAAAUACAAGCCGUGUGAUCCACUGCACACACAUACUGGUAUUUGUAAUAACUCCAAGUUAUCAGAAGAGUUUAGUAUAUUCUUCUUAGUGUAUUCAUUUAGUAUUUUUUUAGGGAAGCAAAGAAAUUUGUAAUUUAGGACUGUCCAACUGGUUAAAAACAACUUAUUUAGAGGAGCGUAAAUCAGUCUUUUAAGGAAUUAUUGUUGCAUUAGGUCUUUGUUCCCAAUUCGGUGCUCUUUCCACUGCACCACAGUUAUACAAUGUACAGGCAUACCUUGUUUUAUGGCGUUCGCAGAUAAUUUUUUUUAAAAAAUAAAUUGACGGUUUGUGGCAACCCUGUGUUAUCAGAUGAUGGUUAGCAUUUUUAAGCAAUAAAGUAUUCCUUAAGGCAUGUAAUUGUUUUUUAGACAUAAUGCUAUUGUACAUGUAAUAGACUAUAGACUACAGUACAGUGUAAACAUAACUUUUAUGCACAAGAAAACCAAAUAUUUUGAGUGAUUCGCUUUAUUGUGAUAUCCCCAAGGUAGACUUAUAGUUGAAGCUUUAUUUUAUAAGAAGGGAAAAAAGUUAAAUUCUGCAGUUAGUAAGACUGCAAAAAUUGUUUUUGUACCAGAAGUGCCUCAUGGUAAAGGAAGUAAGAUCUUUAAUAUGCUACAAAUUCAGAAUGUUUCAAACCCAAACUAUAGAAAGGUCAAACGAAGUGGAUAUGGUUGGGUUUGGACUUUUAUCAGUAGACCACCCGUUGUUUUUUUUUUUUUUUGGGGUUGCGUCGUGUGGCUCGUGGGAUCUUAGUUCCCCCACCAGGGAUUGUUUUAUGAACCCAGGCCCGCUGCAGUGAAAAGCAUGGAGUCCUAACCACUGGGCAGCCAGGGAAUUCCCAGCACCCAUUUUAAAAGAUAUUUCCUAAUGACUCAGAGUGAAGCCCAUUUGUUUCCCCUCUCCCAAUCUUUGUGACUAAAAAUAUAAAUCUUAACCCACUAAAAGUCACUGCAAUGACACCGCAAUGAAUGUCCGGUGACCCUGCUGACUCAGCAGUGCUCAGUAGAUGACGGAACUUGAUAUCCAUCACUGACUUCGUUGGUUCAAUGUAUUGGAUUUUGUAGAAUUACCUAAUUUUACACUGUAAUACUUUCAUAAUAUUAGCUUUAUAAUUCACAUCUAUUAAUUUUAAAUUCGAUAAUGAAAUUCUUAGCCCUAAUAUAGUUGUUUUUAUCAGAAAUGUGUGCACAGGUGAAUAUACUAUCAGCCCAUUUCAUACCAAAGGAUUAAUCUUCCAUUUUUUCUAAAACUAAUACCCCAUCUAUUUCUAAGAAAAAACUUGAAGAAACAAAUGUGUGAACGAAGGUUGACAAACUUUUUUUUGAUCUUUUUAUAGAGAAAAGCAAAUAUUACACUGAGAAAACAGAAUGUGGGCAUCUAUCAUCUUACAGCACAGAACUGCUGCAUAUGACAGUGCUUAAAGGAAAAAGCUGACACAAAUCCAACUUACCCUUUAACAGAUGACGAGUACCAUGGAUGCUGGAGGAGUACAUCUGUCAACUAAGAUUUUACAUUCACUCAGUAAAUGCCUACUAUGUAUGUACCAGGCACUGUUCUAACUCACAGGAUAAAACAGGGAGUGAAACAGAAAUCCCUGCCCCCAAGGAAUCUGACCAUCAUUUACAUCAAAACAAUUGAAAAACUUAAGAGCAAGGUAAGAAAUUAAUAAGGAAGGUAAGAAUUAUUAGACUGCUAUAUGCCAUUACUAGAACCAUAGCGUAAGAUUUAGAACACAGUUCAAUGAAAAUUACUCAUGACGUUAUUUUGCUUUUCCUUUAUGUAAAAUGAGUCCUAGAAAAUGUAAAAGAAAAUUCUACCUAGUAUUGAGAGAAAUCCCCAAGGGAAGAGAAAAAGUCUGACUUAGGGUAUAAGGAAUUAACGUGCUUUGCCUCAUUCUGCUUUCAGAAAUGCUUCUUUAGUUCUUUGGCUUUGUAAUUUACAUUUAAAUUACAUAAUAUACUUAUAAAUACCCUAUAAACGCUUAAAAAAAGCAUUCAUUACUCUUUCCUGGGUACUCUUUGAUUAGAAACAGCUCUCCCUUAAAUAGUAUCCAAGUUUUUUUGUUUUUUGUUUUUUUUAGUAUCCAAGUUUUAAAUGACAAUCCUUAUAUAAAGAAGUUACCCCUUUCUGGAUGCAAAAAUAAAAGUGGCUGCCUAGUCAGCACUCAGUUGACCAUUAACAUGCGAAGAAAACCAGGAUCAUCUAGGCAAAUGCUUCUUAACACAAGAUGCAGGCCCUUUGGUAACUGAAUGAAAACUAUGGACCAUCCUUCCAGAAAAAUGUACACAGAUAUUUCAAGAAGUUUUACAGUCUUAACACUGAAUUAAGACUGCUUUACUCUAGGCCAAUCCCUUUCAUUUUAUAGCUGUAUAAUAUGGGGCCCAAUUAGGAAAAAUUAAAAGAUGAAAUAGCUGUGAUACUUUGAUCAUUUUCAAAUUUACUGGGCAUGAAAAGUAUUACUCCCAAGGCAUAAAAAGUGUUUUUAUUGUUGAAAACCAUGAAUAAUCUCUAUGCUGAAGCUCCUUUGGAUAAUGAUAAUGAAAUGCCGUCACUGUGUUAAAAAAAAAAUGUUGGGACCAUUGCUUUUAUUUAGAAGUACUACGUUGUUUAAAUACAGUUGGGAAAGGUGCAAAGAAUUCUUUAUACUUCAUUAAUUUUCAUAGAAAUUCAAUUUUCCCACAUAGGAAUUAUGUACUGGGAAGAAUAAAAACAUCAAAUAAUAAGGGUUCUGGAUUUUGACUAUUAGCAUGAUAUUAUUAAAUGUAUUAGUGAAUUUAAUCCAAGAGUUCAUUAACAUUAAUGAUUGAUAGUGAGGGAAGAUAAGCCCUUAACAUUUACCUGAAAGUCUGAGGCUUAACUGAAAAGCAGAAAUUCCCCUUAUCUGAAUAUAAACAAUGCUUUCCUGUUUGAAGACAUUUUGAACAUAUCUGUUCAACUCUAACCAAUAUUCCAAGACAUUUCAACUUUUACCAGACUGAAGAUUUAGAAACCUAAUCAAAUGGACUAAAAAUAUUCACACACAACUGUGUUUUAAAAAAAUCUUCCCAUUGACUGUACCUUCAGGCCAUAGUAUCUUUCUGGCAACUAAGUAUCAUUUGAUGGGAUCACUAAAGGAUUAUAGUCACUUCAAUUACAUGUUUUAUAACAAGGAUGUUGUAUUUUGAGUUACAAUUUAUCAGUUUUGCUUUUAGGUCAAAUAGUUUUCAUGGAUUAACUAUAAGGAAACUUGAAUUUGUAUUGUCUUGUAGGGAUCUGAGGUUGUGAUAAGACAGUAUCUCUCUAAGAAAUAAGAAAUCUAAUUUGAGGACAUGCUAAACCACAUCAAUAGCUUUUUAUUUAAAUAGAAAAAUCAAAACUUUAAAGUUGUACUUAAAAAAAUCAUCAUUCAUGGAAGUAAAAGUUUUACAGAUUCUACAUUCUCUUGUGAAACAUCACUAGUAUUUCUGCCAAUAUCAUAUGCAUAUUUUACUCUGACUUCCAUGUCAAGUGUCUGACAUGAUUAGCAAUAUUAACUAUCAUUACGAAGGGACCUCUGAAAAUUAAGUCUAGGCAACGUCCCUGUUGCCAAAGUAGUCGUAUGUUUUGGUUCUAAUAUACAAUAGGAGACUAACCUCAAGCAAGCAAUUGGUUACUUCACAUUUUCUAAAGAUAGAUAGUCAUUCUCACUUUCUACAAAGUCAUGUCAUAUUUCACAGCAGAAAAAUGACUUGGCAGCGAGAAAGGUUCAGGACCCCCGCCCCGCCCCCACCCCCCACCAACCUGCCUUGAGCCUUUCAAUAGUGGAUGCUAGAUUUAAUUGAAACAAAGGGGGCAGGGAUGGAAAAAGAGUCAUCCUGGUCAGUCCCACUUUCAAAUUAGGAUGGUGAAAGAAAGAAAAAUAAAAUAAACUUUUUGUUCUUCUGAAUCCCAACCUGAAACAGGAUUGCCCAAAGUGUCCAAAAUAAAAAAAUACCUAAGAUAAUACCAAAGAUUAUGUGCUAUAAUUUACUUAUUUACUUAAAAAAAUCUCCUGCACUGAAGGAAAAUAGUAUAAAUUACAUUACCAACCUUCAAAAGUUAGCAUGUAAAGAGUAUUCUAAACUUCAAACCAUUGCCUUUCUUAGAGUAUUCUGUAGGAAAUUCAUAGAUCAAAAACAAAUACAGGGGUCUCAAAUGCACUGAUUUAUAAUAUUCUUAAAUAUUAAAGGAAAGUAACUUAGCUAUGUGGAUUAGCUAAAGCAAAAUUUCAGGGAUUUUAGUAUCGUAACCCUUAAAGGAUCAUACAAUUUUUUAGAGCUGAGCAGUUUAAGUAGAAAUAAAUACUAGUACACACUAGAAGAGAAGAUUUAAUAAUUGAUAAAAAUGUACAAAAAUAUUCAAAUCAGAAAUGCUUUAGAAUGUGUACCACGAAGUCAGUACUUCUCAGUGAGGAGGGAAGGUAAAAGACUUCCUCAAUGAAAAAAAGCAAGAGAAAGAUCGGAUUAAAAAAAAAAAACUGUUAAAGAAAUCGUUUAAGUCAACAUUGAUUUGUUUUAGACAAGGAUAUUGCAACCAUCACUUAAAGUUUGGUGGCACAUUCUUUAGUAGGUCCUUAAGGCAAUAUAUUUAAGCUAAUUUACAAUUUGAUUUGAUGUUAACUUUUUAAACAUCACCUCAAAAUAAUGCCCUCACAACAGCCUUUUUAAAAUGUAUUUAGAUGUUUCAUAAAAAAUAAUGGUGGCUUUAUUAUAGUAGUGCUCAAUAGCACCACUAUAGUUAAGGGUCUACCAGGUUUCCAUUAAGAACACCUAUGUCUCAGUUCACCUUAAAAGAUCAUAUCAGCUUCAACCAGUUGGAUAGUGCACAAAAAAGCAGUUUUAUCAGUUGCUGGUGCUUUUUUUGUACUACUAGAUAUCAAAAAAUUUUCAUUAUUAUCUUCAAAAUCCAACUUCUAUAAAGUAAAUCAAAUCACCU